rnacentral:pre_miRNA from 1 species
UCUUAUGGAUGAGCAAAGAAAGUGAUUUCUUGAGAUGGGAUAUACUCCUGGUGAAGAUGCUGUGAC